GUGCUUGCUUCGGCAGCAUGUAUACUAAAAUUGGAACGAUGCAGAGAAGAUUAUCAUGGCCCCUGCACAAGGAUGACAUGCAAAUUUGUGAAGUAUUCUGUAUUUUA
ensembl:snRNA U6 U6 spliceosomal RNA